GACGAACGCUGGCGGCGUGCUUAAUACAUGCAAGUCGAACGGAAAGGCCCGGCGUUUGCGGGUCGCUCGAUUGGCGAACGGGUGAGUAACACGCGAGUAACCCGCCCUUGACUUAGUGAGAACUUCAGGAGACUCGGGCUCAUACCGGGUAUGAUCUCUUGCUGCAUGGUGGGGGUUGGAAAAUUACGGCUGUUGGGGAUCGAAUCGCGGGUUAUCAGCUUGAUGGUGUGGUAGUGGCUUACCAAGGCUUUGACGGGUAGCCGGCGUGAGAGGGUGACCGGCCACAUUGGGACUGAGAUACGGCCCAGACUGGUACGGGAGGCAGUAGUGGGGAAUAUUGCACAAUGGGCGGAAGCCUGAUGCAGCAACGCCGCGUGCGGGAUGACGGCCUUCGGGUUGUAAACCGCUUUCGCAUGUGACGAAGCGUGAGUGACGGUAACGGGUAGAGAAGCACCGGCUAACUACGUG
rnacentral:rRNA from 1 species